rnacentral:rRNA from 1 species
GACAGAGGAUGCAAGCGUUAUCCGGAAUGAUUGGGCGUAAAGCGUCUGCAGGUGGCUUUUGAAGUCCUCCGUCAAAUACCAGGGCUCAACCCCGGACAGGCGUUGGAAACUAUCAAGCUGGAGUACGGUAGGGGCAGAGGGAAUUUCCGGUGGAGCGGUGAAAUGCGUAGAGAUCGGAAAGAACACCGUGGGCGAAAGCGCUCUGCUGGGCCGACACUGACACUGAGAGACGAAAGCUAGGGGAGCGAAUGGGAUUAGAUACCCGGGUAGUCC